ACGGGCCGGUUCCUGGGCGGCAUUCAGCGAUGACAGUUUGAUCUCUCACGAAUACCGUUUCGCACCCUCGUACACAGCGGAGCUUUACGCACAGCAUGCUUCGAUUGGACCACACGGCACCGUGGCGCACUGAAACAGGACUUGGAAAGUUACUUAAACCGAACGAGGCUUAUUCUGCGUCUGGGCGGACUCAGUGAACGGGAGGUUCUGCACUGCAAAAGACUCGUCUUGGGCAUAACAAAUAGCAACGCGCCAGGAACAGAACUAACUUUUGGUUAACUAGAAUGAGAAUAGCACAGCGUCAUUGAUUAUGAGCGAAUUAUCACCCCUCUAAUCAUAUCCUGGGGACCGUUAUCAACAGUUCGUGAACCAGAGGCGUUUGCGCUCUGGAUUCGGGAAUAUACUUAUUGAUCAAACAUUUAUUAAGUGAAUGCAUGAGUGUAGAGACAGUGGAUGAAAGGACACAAGUCUGUUUUCAGUCUGCCGGGCUUUGAAAACUGAAGUUUUAACAUACUGUUCGCAAACUCAAACCUACAAAUGAGUUUAACAGUAUUGAAGUUUAAGAUAUAAAUGUGAAGGAUUGGUCUCUUGAUUCGCACAAGACCUCGCACAAGACGCGCCAGAGACACUACAGAACAUUACGCGCACAACUGUGACUGGACUGUGGAGGAGCAACAUGUACCCGGCGUGCCGGACAAACGCGUUCAGUAUCUCUCCAUCUGCCUCUCUGGCAAUGUUUGGGAAUUCGGGGAAAGCCAAAAAGAGACCCUGUUGGAUUGUAAUAUUGCUGUCGGUGCUCCUACAUCUGGCGUCAGCACAAGGUAAGACACUUUUCUGCUUAUUUUAUGUGCAGAUUAAUAUUAUUAAUAACCAUAGGUUCUCCCUCUCUUGUUUUAACAUUAUAUACUAUUCACUGUUGUUCAAAGGUUUGAUGUGUUAUUUUUUUUUUUUUUGUCGUCAUUUGUUCUGCUAAAUAAUUUUGUGAAAAAAUUUUUUUUCUAAGAAUUCUUAGGUGAUAUAAAGUCUUCACAAGAACAGCAUUUAUUGAAAUUGAAAUUGAGUAUAUACAUAUAUACAUAUAUAUAUAUACAUAUACAUAUAUAUGUACAGUAUAUACAAACCCGAUUCCAAAAAUGUUGGGACACUAUACAAAUUCUGAGUAAAAAAAGGAAUGGAAUAAUUUACAAAUCUCAUAAACUUAUAUUUUAUUCACAAUAGAAUAUAGAUAACAUAUCA
rnacentral:lncRNA from 12 species